rnacentral:sRNA from 12 species
UGCCAGCCUAUCUCAACGGGGGAGAAAAGCGGAGUCAUUAACCGCCUGGCUGGCUAAUCUUUCUUGAUU